rnacentral:pre_miRNA from 1 species
UUUUAGAUAAACCCUGGGUUUUUAUGUCUAACGUUUGACUAUUUAUCUCAUAUAAUUUUUUUUUAUAAUUAGUAUUUUUAUUGUUAUUAGAUGAUAAAAUAUGAUUAAUAUUUUAUGUAUGACUUGUCUUUUUAAUUUUUUUAUAAUUUUUUUAAAUAAGACGAACGGUUAAAUAUUGAACAUGAAAAUCUAUA